rnacentral:rRNA from 1 species
ACGAACGCUGGCGGCACGCUUAACACAUGCAAGUCGAACGAGAGAAGAGGAGCUUGCUUUUCUGAUCUAGUGGCGGACGGGUGAGUAACACGUGAGCAAUCUGCCUUUCAGAGGGGGAUACCGAUUGGAAACGAUCGUUAAUACCGCAUAACAUAAUUGAACCGCAUGAUUUGAUUAUCAAAGAUUUAUCGCUGAAAGAUGAGCUCGCGUCUGAUUAGCUAGUUGGUAAGGUAACGGCUUACCAAGGCGACGAUCAGUAGCCGGACUGAGAGGUUGAUCGGCCACAUUGGGACUGAGACACGGCCCAGACUCCUACGGGAGGCAGCAGUGGGGAAUAUUGCACAAUGGAGGAAACUCUGAUGCAGCGAUGCCGCGUGAGGGAAGAGGGUUUUAGGAUUGUAAACCUCUGUCUUCAGGGACGAAAAAAGACGGUACCUGAGGAGGAAGCUCCGGCUAACUACGUGCCAGCAGCCGCGGUAAUACGUAGGGAGCGAGCGUUGUCCGGAAUUACUGGGUGUAAAGGGAGCGUAGGCGGGAUCGCAAGUCAGAUGUGAAAACUAUGGGCUUAACCCAUAAACUGCAUUUGAAACUGUGGUUCUUGAGUGAAGUAGAGGUAAGCGGAAUUCCUAGUGUAGCGGUGAAAUGCGUAGAUAUUAGGAGGAACAUCAGUGGCGAAGGCGGCUUACUGGGCUUUAACUGACGCUGAGGCUCGAAAGCGUGGGGAGCAAACAGGAUUAGAUACCCUGGUAGUCCACGCCGUAAACGAUGAUUACUAGGUGUGGGGGGACUGACCCCUUCCGUGCCGUAGCAAACGCAAUAAGUAAUCCACCUGGGGAGUACGACCGCAAGGUUGAAACUCAAAGGAAUUGACGGGGGCCCGCACAAGCAGUGGAGUAUGUGGAUUAAUUCGAAGCAACGCGAAGAACCUUACCAGGUCUUGACAUCGUAUGCAUAGCUCAGAGAUGAGUGAAAUCUCUUCGGAGACAUAUAGACAGGUGGUGCAUGGUUGUCGUCAGCUCGUGUCGUGAGAUGUUGGGUUAAGUCCCGCAACGAGCGCAACCCUUACUGUUAGUUGCUACGCAAGAGCACUCUAGCAGGACUGCCGUUGACAAAACGGAGGAAGGUGGGGAUGACGUCAAAUCAUCAUGCCCCUUAUGACCUGGGCCUCACACGUACUACAAUGGCUGUCAACAGAGGGAAGCAAAGCCGCGAGGUGGAGCAAACCCCUAAAAGCAGUCUUAGUUCGGAUUGUAGGCUGCAACCCGCCUACAUGAAGUCGGAAUUGCUAGUAAUCGCAGAUCAGCAUGCUGCGGUGAAUACGUUCCCGGGCCUUGUACACACCGCCCGUCACGCCAUGGGAGUCGGUAACACCCGAAGCCUGUAGUCUAACCGCAAGGAGGACGCAGUCGAAGGUGGGAUUGAUGACUGGGGUG